GUGGGGAAUAUUGGACAAUGGGCGAAAGCCUGAUCCAGCCAUGCCGCGUGUGUGAAGAAGGUCUUCGGAUUGUAAAGCACUUUAAGUUGGGAGGAAGGGUAGUAACCUAAUACGUUGCUACUUUGACGUUACCGACAGAAUAAGCACCGGCUAACUUCGUGCCAGCAGCCGCGGUAAUACGAAGGGUGCAAGCGUUAAUCGGAAUUACUGGGCGUAAAGCGCGCGUAGGUGGUUCAGUAAGUUGGAAGUGAAAGCCCCGGGCGCAACCUGGGAACUGCUUUCAAAACUGCUGAGCUAGAGUACGGUAGAGGGUGGUGGAAUUUCCUGUGUAGCGGUGAAAUGCGUAGAUAUAGGAAGGAACACCAGUGGCGAAGGCGACCACCUGGACUGAUACUGACACUGAGGUGCGAAAGCGUGGGGAGCAAACAGGAUUAGAUACCCCGGUAGUCC
rnacentral:rRNA from 1 species